GACAGAGGGUGCAAACGUUGUUCGGAAUUACUGGGCGUAAAGCGCGUGUAGGCGGCUCGGAAAGUCGGAUGUGAAAGCCCUGGGCUUAACCUAGGAAGUGCAUUCGAAGCUCCCGAGCUUGAGUUCUGGAGAGGAAGGCGGAAUUCUCGGUGUAGAGGUGAAAUUCGUAGAUAUCGAGAGGAACACCGGUGGCGAAGGCGGCCUUCUGGACAGUGACUGACGCUGAGACGCGAAAGCGUGGGGAGCAAACAGG
rnacentral:rRNA from 1 species